CGGGAUUUCCGAUCUCUAAAUAUUCUAUCCUUCUAUAUUCUUUGUGCUGUCACGUGAUGCAAAUUCUUGUGCUAGAACUAGUAUUUUUCUGCAAAUUUGAAUAUUCAAUAUGAAGGUUUGUUUCAAUUGGUAUGCAAGAUGCUGAUACGAUGAUUCAAGUGAAUGGAAUGGUUUGGAGGCAUGCAUUUAUCAAAACUUUGAAGAUUAAAUCUGACACACCUACAAUUGAUUUGAUGGAUCUGGCAAACACACCAAUAUGGCCUCUUGCUUCUUAUUUUUGUAGCUAUUGUACAAAAGUUUGGGCACACACAAUACUAGGGAUGCUUCUUUGUUUCUUACGGAUGCUCCUAGCUACAUCGUAGAUAAUAUUUGCUUUAUCCAUUGUCAACCAUGCUUCUUUGCUUUUCUCAAAUUUUCAAACCGAGUACCACUUCAUAUCCAUGCUUCGUGAUUUAGUUAGUGUAUGGAUUUCCAGUAUUUAACUAUUUUUGGUUGAAACUUGGCCUCGUGAUUCAUAAAUCUAUCAUAUAUGAUGAAUAGAUUUAAUUAGUGCCCCAUAUGUUGUGUGAAUUCUUGUUUUUUCAUUCAUGCUUCUUAUGUGCUACCAUCCUAAUUUCAUAAUGCUUCAUCUUUACUCUUUAGAGGUCUGGCUGAACACCAUGCAUUCAAAGUGCUUGCAACACUAUAUAUUACAGCUUUAUUAGUAUUCUUGCCAUGCUUCCAGCUUAACAAAUACAUGUUCCAAGCUGCAUACAUGCUUCGUACCUGCGUCGUACAAACUGCAUACAUGCUUCACGCCCAUUUUUGUCAAUGUAACUUCCUACAGGUUGUUGAAUGCAUGGUGUUUCCUCGGAGAUCUGAACAGUAGCGUCGAAGCAUUAACAAAUUAAAUACCCAGAUGUUCGAAGCUGCAUACAUGCUCUGUGCCUGUGUCGUACAUACUGCAUACAUGCUUCAUGCCCAUCUUUAUCAAUGUAAUUCAUAACUGCGUUUCCCUACUUGAAUUUUUAUGGUCUCAUUAUUUACCUGCAGGAGAAGAUUGACCAUCCUUGGUGAUUGCAGGCAAGCUAAUGUGGUGCCAUUUGAUCUAUAUUUAUGCCCUAUAAAUGAAUAAAUACCUGAAAUCAAAGACCUCACCAUUCCUGUCAUCCUGCGGGUGCAUGGGGUUGGCGGAAGCAUGUUUUAUAUCUUUGGAAGCAAGCCUUAAUUUAUUGGGAAGUGUCUACGUCUCCAUAGUAGCCGGCGUCGGGACCUAGAAGAAGCACCCUCGCACAUGGAUUUCUCUAGGAGAACGUAAAGGUGUCUCGCUUGGUUUUCUAGGAAAGCAUGAUUAUGGACGUCCUCAACAUUGAGAUCCAAAAGGUUGCUGAUUUCAUAGAAGCACACACUUUACAAGGGCGACGAGCUGGUGACUCCACGCUCCAUCGAUGGUGUCUGAUGAUUUUCUGCUGAUCUUAGGUAUGGGACUGGUGAUGGUUGCGACACCGUGAAUUGGUGUAGCCAUUCUGAUGAAGUCCAAAUCUUCGGAACAACGAGUAAUGGGUGGUCGCACGACGGCGGUCUCAUUUGCCGACAACGUGCUUGUGUCUUCGCCACAUAGUUGAUUCUUUGUCCUCGCAACAUACAGUGGAUAUGAAGCUUUGGUUUGUAAUAGGAAGCACUUAGUUCGUGAUCCAUUACCAUUUGAAACAUAGUUUACCGGAGGAAAUCUGGCAUUCAAUGGUAGCAAACUUUCAUUUCCUUGGAAGCACAUCCAAAAUUCGUUUGAAGCACUAGUAAUACUCUUUUAUGUGGAAGCACA